CUUGGUCAUUUAGAGGAAGUAAAAGUCGUAACAAGGUCUCCAUUGGUGAACCAGCGGAGGGAUCAUUACAGAGUUGCAAAACUCCCUAAACCAUUGUGAACGUUACCUAAACCGUUGCUUCGGCGGGCGGCCCGGGUCCUUCCCGGCGCCCCCCGGCCCUCGCGGGCGCCCGCCGGAGGUAAACCAAACUAUUGCAUUAAUGGCCUCUCUGAGUCUUCUGUACUGAAUAAGUCAAAACUUUCAACAACGGAUCUCUUGGUUCUGGCAUCGAUGAAGAACGCAGCGAAAUGCGAUAAGUAAUGUGAAUUGCAGAAUCCAGUGAAUCAUCGGAUCUUUGAACGCACAUUGCGCCCGCCAGUAUUCUGGCGGGCAUGCCUGUUCGAGCGUCAUUUCAACCAUCAAGCCCCCGGCUUGUGUUGGGGACCUGCGGCUGCCGCAGGCCCUGAAAUGCAGUGGCGGGCUCGCUGUCACUCCGAGCGUAGUAGUUACAUCUCGCUCUGGGCGUGCUGCGGGUUCCGGCCGUUAAAAGCCUUAUUUACCCAAGGUUGACCUCGGAUCAGGUAGGAAGACCAGCUGAACUUAAGCAUAUCAAUAAGCGGAGGA
rnacentral:misc_RNA from 1 species